rnacentral:rRNA from 1 species
AUUGAACGCUGGCGGCAGGCCUAACACAUGCAAGUCGAACGGUAACAGGAAGAAGCUUGCUUCUUUGCUGACGAGUGGCGGACGGGUGAGUAAUGUCUGGGAAACUGCCUGAUGGAGGGGGAUAACUACUGGAAACGGUAGCUAAUACCGCAUAACGUCGCAAGACCAAAGAGGGGGACCUUCGGGCCUCUUGCCAUCGGAUGUGCCCAGAUGGGAUUAGCUAGUAGGUGGGGUAACGGCUCACCUAGGCGACGAUCCCUAGCUGGUCGGAGAGGAUGACCGGCCACACUGGAACUGAGACACGGUCCAGACUCCUACGGGAGGCAGCAGUGGGGAAUAUUGCACAAUGGGCGCAAGCCUGAUGCAGCCAUGCCGCGUGUAUGAAGAAGGCCUUCGGGUUGUAAAGUACUUUCAGCGGGGAGGAAGGGAGUAAAGUUAAUACCUUGGCUCAUUGACGUUACCCGCAGAAGAAGCACCGGCUAACUCCGUG